AUGUGUUCAUCCAUGUCCCAGGCUAGCUCUCCACCACCUUCAUCCGUCAUGUCCAACAGUUUGCACGUCUCCCUCUCAUCACUCUCGCUGCUCUGGUUCAUUUCGGGCACUGCCCUCAACCCGGGGAGGAACUUCUACAAGUGUGAUUGCCAUGUUGUGAGUUCAUAUUCAAUCUUUCAAUCCAUUUCGUGCACUGACGAGGCUGAAAAAAUGGGGUGCAGGUUCUGGAAGUGGGAACUACAUAAGUUCUUCUCAUAUCGCAGUCAACUGUCUACUUUGUUUACCUUUCAGAUUCUCGAAAAUAAUCAAGCUUUGCUGAAGAAGAUAACCAUGUUUUGCCUUGCUGAUCUGCUCACCAACUGUCUACUUCUUUUACCUUUCAAUUUCGACCUUUUCUGGAUCCAAGCCAGCAAUGCAUCAGUCAGUAAUGUUUUUUUUCCACCAAGGUCGUUGAUGUAG
rnacentral:rRNA from 1 species